UACGGAGGGGGCGAGCGUUGUCCGAAGUUACUGGGCGUAAAGCGCGUGUAGGCGGGUUGCCAAGUCCGCUGUGAAAGCCCGAGGCUCAACCUCGGAGGGUCGGUGGAUACUGGCAGUCUUGAAGGUGCUAGGGGGAGAUGGAAUUACCGGUGUAGCGGUGAAAUGCGUAGAGAUCGGUAGGAACACCAGUGGCGAAGGCGGUCUCCUGGGGCAUUCUUGACGCUGAGACGCGAAAGCUGGGGGAGCGAACAGG
rnacentral:rRNA from 1 species